UAUAAGUUUUAUCAACAAUAAAAAUUACUUAUAAACGCAUUAUUAAAUUACUGAGACACUUGCUUUUAUGCACCUAAAUUAUAUAAUUUUUAAAUACACAACUACAAAAUCAUCCCACAACAAAAAUAUACACUUUUGUAUGGGUAAAGCUGACUCACCAUUUUGAAUGAAUCAACUAUUUACAGGCGUUUAAGAAUGUUUGGGUACCCCCUAAAACAUAUGACUAUCCUUUGUUAGAUAAAAAUAAAAAAGAGGGCUGAAAUUUCAGUCGAAAUGGCUUGAUGAAUUUUCUUGGCUUGUGUAUUCUGAAAUAAAAAAUGGAGCGUUUUGUAAAUUUUGUGCUAUUUUUUCAAAAUCUGGUGGAGCUUUAAAUCGGCCACUUGGGCAGCUUGUACUAGUAGAAUUUAACAAUUGGAAAAAAGCUAAACAGGUGUUUCAAAAUCAUUGUAUGUAAGGAUUUAAUUGUAUUUUUAAAUCCACAAGUAUUAUCAUCGAAAAAGAGGAUAGAAAUACUUUUCUAAAGCUUACAGAGUUUUAUUCCUCCAUAAUUGAU